rnacentral:rRNA from 1 species
UACGUAGGGGGCUAGCGUUGUCCGGAAUCAUUGGGCUUAAAGCGCGUGUAGGCGGUCCGGUAAGUCCGCUGUGAAAGUCGGGGGCUCAACCCUCGAAAGCCGGUGGAUGACUGUCGGGCUAGAGUACGGAAGAGGCGAGUGGAAUUCCUGGUGUAGCGGUGAAAUGCGCAGAUAUCAGGAGGAACACCAAUUGCGAAGGCAGCUCGCUGGGACGUUACUGACGCUGAGACGCGAAAGCGUGGGGAGCAAACAGG